AUGAAGGCAUACAUGGCUGCCGAGGACAAGCUUCUCUGUGAGUGCUGGCGAGACAUUGGACAAGACCCCAAGACGGGCGCCGAACAAAAGCAUUCAACCUUUUGGAUUCGUGUCCACCGAGAGUUUCAUGAGUGUAAGAAGUUUCCGCCUUACCAAUUUGUGAGCACGCGCGGGUGGGUGUCCAUUUCCAAGUGA
rnacentral:rRNA from 1 species